rnacentral:misc_RNA from 1 species
ACAAAUCAGCUAUAUGGCGAAAGCCAUAUAUAUUCACCCCAAGCCUGGAAUUGUACACUGUACAGGACCGGGCUUUGGUUGGGCUACAUCCCUAGUGGGUGUGGCUCCGGCAAGUACGCUUCGGCGCACUGGCCACAUAGACGCUUGUAUUGUUUGACAGAGUAUUAUUGCUUAAAAAAUGA